AAUCAACGCUGGCGGCGUGCCUCAGACAUGCAAGUCGAACGCGAAAUUUCCCUUCGGGGAGAAAGUAGAGUGGCGCACGGGUGAGUAACACGUAGGUAAUUUGCCUUUGGGUGGGGAAUAACUCAGGGAAACUUGAGCUAAUACCGCAUAAUGCAGCGGCUCGACAUCGAGACAGUUGUUAAAGCGGGGGAUUGGAGCAAUCCGACCUCGCGCCUAAAGAGAAGCCUGCGGCAGAUUAGCUAGUUGGUAAGGUAAUGGCUUACUAAGGCGACGAUCUGUAACCGGCCUGAGAGGGCGGUCGGUCACACUGACACUGACAUACGGGUCAGACUCCUACGGGAGGCAGCAGUCGGGAAUUUUGGGCAAUGGGCGCAAGCCUGACCCAGCAACGCCGCGUGAAGGAUGAAAUUUUCGGAAUGUAACUUCGCAAGAACAGGAAGAAUAAGUGUGGGACAA
rnacentral:rRNA from 1 species